AUUAAACGCUGGCGGCAUGCCUUACACAUGCAAGUCGAACGGCAGCACGGGAGCUUGCUCCUGGUGGCGAGUGGCGGACGGGUGAGUAAUACAUCGGAACGUGCCCUGGAGUGGGGGAUAACGCAGCGAAAGCUACGCUAAUACCGCAUAUUCUGUGAGCAGGAAAGCAGGGGAUCGCAAGACCUUGCGCUCUAGGAGCGGCCGAUGUCGGAUUAGCUAGUUGGUGGGGUAAAGGCCCACCAAGGCGACGAUCCGUAGCGGGUCUGAGAGGAUGAUCCGCCACACUGGGACUGAGACACGGCCCAGACUCCUACGGGAGGCAGCAGUGGGGAAUUUUGGACAAUGGGCGGAAGCCUGAUCCAGCCAUGCCGCGUGAGUGAAGAAGGCCUCGGUUGUAAG
rnacentral:rRNA from 1 species